CCCUCACUGCUGAGGAGGAGUUGCCAUUAUCAUCCCUGAUAUGGAGGCGGGGAAACGCCGAGAACAGUGUGUGCUUAGGAAGCCACAGAGCUGGAAGUAGAGCCCCAGCAGCCUGAUCCAGAGCCCUCGCUCUUCACCACCACCCUACCCUGCUCCAGGGAGUACAGUGGGGGUCCUGGAGCCUCUUUCCAUCUGUUGGGUCUUGGUGACAGGUACAAAUUAAUCUUGAAUGAAAGCCGUGGACUCCUCACCUAUCUCUUAGACAGGGUCUCACUCUGUCACCCAGGCUGGAGCUCUGUGACGUGAUCACACUGCAGUCUCAGACUCCCAGGCUCAAGCAAUCCUCCUGCCUCAGCCUCCCAAGUAGCUGGGACUACAGAUGAUAACAGCCAAGAAAGCAAAACUUGAAGUGAACACGAUGAUGAAGAGAGUAAAGAAAGGUAAAGACAGUGCUGAAGGUGGCAUUCAUAAACGUCCCAGCGCUGAAGGGAGAGGCUGUGCUUGAAGAAGAAAAAGUCUGCUAGCCAAGGAGGAGGAGGAGCUAUUUGAGGGAGAAUUCUUGCCAAUUACAGACUUAUUAUGACAGAUGAAAAGAUCGUAAUUAUACUUGGAUUCCCUGCAGAAGUGCCUUAACACAUCCAUGACAUCUAAUAACCACAUGCCUCAAUGGAGGCUGACUUUUCCAAAGUUGCUUAACCUUUCAUUUCUUUGCCGUCACACCAAAACCCAUCUAUGGGUGCUCAGAGAAAUCAAGGAGGGAGACUCCAUCAAGGCUAGGUGGCUGACAUCCCUGAUGCUUUGGGAGAGACACUCAGUCAGUGAUAGCUGAGCCUGGGUAGCUCCUUACUGGGGGUCUGAGGGGUACAGGCAGCCUGUCCAGAGGCCUGGGGCCAGGGCACCGCUCUAGAGUCCAGAUAGCUUAGGUGCCUUCGUUAGAGGCCAGGGAAAACUGGACAGGUGGGUAAGACAAGCUGGGGAGAUUUGAGCAGAUAUGGCCCUGCAGAUGGAGAACAGAAAAUACUAAAUUGAAGGGGAGAUUUCAGCAAAAGUUAUAGUCUUGUUUGGUCUAAGUUUUAACUUGGAUUGGUUUAAGAAGUGGGGGUGAUAUUAAACACUGCUGAGUCAAAAGCAUCUUUUUAAAUAAUUUCAACUUUUAUCUUAGAUAUAGGGUGUACACGUGCAGGUUUGUUAGAUGGGUGUAUCGUGUGACACUGAGGUUUGGGGUACGAAUGGUCCCAUCACCCAGGUGGUGAGCACAGCACCCAGUAGGCAGCCUUUCAGUCCUCGCGCCCCUCCUCCUCUCCUCAGUGUUUACUGUUCCCAUCUUUACGCCUGAGUGUGCCCAAGGUUUAGCUCCCAAAACGCACCUUCUCUAUGCUUCAUCCCAUAGUCCCCGUGCAGGACGGCAGGAGGAGGAAAUGUGGUUGAUUAUGACAUCUUUCCAUCUGCCAGUUUUAUGUCUAGAUUAUAACAAGGACAAUUUGUGGAAAGCUGCUGCCAAGAGACUAUAAACUGAAAGACAAGCAUUCAGUCUGAAAAAAUAUGAAGUCAUUAUCCUGGUGGCUGCUGUCCACCAAUUUGAAAGGGUUGGGAAGAAAAUUUAUUUUUGAAAAGCUCAGGUGCAAAGACACCUAAGUUCUUCCUUUAGUCUUCUUUUCCUCAAAAGAGCAGGGGCAAAGGCUUUGGGAAAAGGACUUCUGGAAAGUCACAGAAAAGGCAUCCCUGAAGGGAUAGCUAUGGGGAGCAAGACGGAGGGCAGUGUCUGCUGUGCUCCAUUGGGAGUGGCCAGGACCUCUGCAGCUCUGACCCAGCUUCGCCAUCUGAGCCAAAGAUGAGCUUGGUCUUCCUGAGAAAUCUAUUAAAUAAUAUAGUGGUUCAGUCCAAAUAGGAGCUUGGCUCUGAGUUCACCAACAAGUGUGCUUAAAUAAGGUGAAUUACACUGUGAGCUUAAGGGCUGUUAGGUGUAUUUUGCAAAGAGCUACUGGAGUGUGUGGAGGUUUCUUGAAAUCAAAAAGGUAAGAAGAGAUCAGUGA